AAUCCCUAACCACUAACUUGUUCUAAGGUUGAAGGUGAAAAUGUGAUCGACAAACACAACCAAUGAAUUGAAUAAACUUGCAAAAUACAAAAUCUAACACACACAUGCACACACAUUCAUAACAAAAUUUUACAUAUGUAAGAUGAUACUUUUGCUUAUGUACAUCUGCUUAUUAGCUCUCAUAUUCUAAACAGAUUCGAUAGAGGUACUUUGAUAAAAAUGUGGCGCUGCUUCCAAUAACAUUUCUGGUUGAAUAACAGUCAAAUCCUUCAUAGUAUACAAGCAGCUAUUCGGAUGAAUAUAUAAAUCCUUAUUACCUCGAACUGUUCUGUACACACCUGUAUAAUGUAAAUAUGCUGCUUUAGGAAAAAGACCAGCUGUCAAACACUUGAGAAUUUGUUGAACAUUCCCUAAAAUAUCGA